UUGGAGGGCAAGUCUGGUGCCAGCAGCCGCGGUAAUUCCAGCUCCAAUAGCGUAUAUUAAAGUUGUUGCAGUUAAAAAGCUCGUAGUUGGAUUUCGGGGUUCUACCGUUGGUCGGGCUUUGUCUGUACUGGCGUGUAGAAUUUCUACCUUCUGGGGAACCACCAUGUUAUUAAUUUAGCGUGGUGGGAAACCAGGACCUUUACCUUGAAAAAAUUAGAGUGUUCAAAGCAGGCUUAUGUCUGAAUACAUUAGCAUGGAAUAAUAGAAUAGGACGGUGGUCCUGUUUUGUUGGUUUCUGAAUCACCGUAAUGAUUAAUAGGGAUAGUUGGGGGCAUUAGUAUUCAAUUGUCAGAGGUGAAAUUCUUGGAUUUAUUGAAGACUAACUUCUGCGAAAGCAUUUGCCAAGGAUGUUUUCAUUAAUCAAGAACGAAAGUUAGGGGAUCGAAGACGAUCAGAUACCGUCGUAGUCUUAACCAUAAACUAUGCCGACUAGGGAUCGGACGAUGUUAAUUUUUCUUGACUCGUUCGGCGCCUUACGGGAAAC
rnacentral:rRNA from 1 species